rnacentral:rRNA from 1 species
GACGAACGCUGGCGGCGUGCUUAACACAUGCCAGUCGAACGGAAAGGCCCUGCUUUUGUGGGGUGCUCGAGUGGCGAACGGGUGAGUAACACGUGAGUAACCUGCCCUUGACUUUGGGAUAACUUCAGGAAACUGGGGCUAAUACCGGAUAGGAGCUCCUGCUGCAUGGUGGGGGUUGGAAAGUUUCGGCGGUUGGGGAUGGACUCGCGGCUUAUCAGCUUGUUGGUGGGGUAGUGGCUUACCAAGGCUUUGACGGGUAGCCGGCCUGAGAGGGUGACCGGCCCCAUUGGGACUGAGAUACGGCCCAGACUCCUACGGGAGGCAGCAGUGGGGAAUAUUGCACAAUGGGCGGAAGCCUGAUGCAGCAACGCCGCGUGCGGGAUGACGGCCUUCGGGUUGUAAACCGCUUUCGCCUGUGACGAAGCGUGAGUGACGGUAAUGGGUAAAGAAGCACCGGCUAACUACGUG